rnacentral:rRNA from 1 species
AUCAUUAAUGAUACUUGGAGAUUCUGAUGCUGGCGUUUACUCGCAUGUGCUCGAUCUCCUUAAUCCAUUCAACACCUGUGCACCUUUGUGAAGGAGAGCGAAAGUUCACCUUCAUUUUAUACAAACUCUUUAUUGAAAUCUGAAUGUUCAUUGGCCGAAAGGCUCUAAAAUAAAACAACUUUUAACAACGGAUCUCUUGGCUCUCGCAUCGAUGAAGAACGCAGCGAAAUGCGAUAAGUAAUGUGAAUUGCAGAAUUCAGUGAAUCAUCGAAUCUUUGAACGCACCUUGCGCUCCCUGGUAUUCCGGGGAGCACGCCUGUUCGAGUGUCAUGAAGCUCUCAAAUGGAGUCCUUUAUUGUGACUUUUCAUUUGGAUUUGGACUCUGCUGUAGUCAAAUACAGCUGGUCUUAAAAAUAUUAGCUUGGUCCUUGAUAAUCUUGGUUCUACUCGGCGUGAUAAUUAUCUAACGUUGAGGACAUUUCUUUAUUGAGAUGGCCAGAAUUGUUUAAGAGCUGCUUCUAAUCGUCUUCGGACAUAACAUUUUCAAAUCUGACCUCGAAUCAGUGGGACUACCCGCUGAACUU